rnacentral:sRNA from 1 species
ACAUUCCAAUAUAGUUAAGGAUGUAGACGAGGAAUGUUUCCUUGAAUGAAAUGAUAUUUAAAAAGUAAAUUGUAAUUUGUUUGACAUUUCUAAACAUAUAUAUUUAUUUGUCAAACUUACACUUUAACCCAGUAUUGUGAAAUGAGAACGUAUUGCGCACUUUAAAUGUAGACGCAUUUAGCACACCUGUCCCUGGACGCUGGAAUUAAUAGUGCACAAACAUUUUCCAAUAUGUUUUCAUUUUUCUUGUUUUUAAAUGUUUUGUUGGCUUCAAUCUUUUUUUAAUUAUACAAUUAUAGCCUUUUUGAUGAGGUCAUUACAUGGUUUUAUAGACCUGAUGAGAGUAUAUCGACCAAGAGCGAAGCCUAUAAUGACCGAUAUCAAAAGGCUAUAACUUUACUUUUAUCAUAAAAAAUAAAAGAAAACUCAUUCUCUUCAAGUGUGAAAUAUUUUGUUCCUUAUGAAAAGGUGUUGAUUUUGCUAUUAUGACGUCAUAAUGUGCGUGCCAUAGUAUUUUGUCAUGAAAAGCUAUGUAUAGUAUAGUGAGGUUUAUUAAUUUUCUUUUUUCUAGCAUAGUAAGAUCUGUAACAGAAUUUAUAGCACGGUCAUGUGACAGUAAUCUACCAAUGAUAUGCUUGGGAAAAAAAAGAUAUGAUAAUUAUACUUCAAGUGUGCGCUUACGUAAUUUUGGAUGAUCGAUUUUAUUAUUUGUUAAUAUAUUAGCAUUGGUAAACAUCGCGAAUAAUAAAUUUUGUUAUCAAAGACGUUGAACAAUUAUUCAAUUUUAUUGAAUACCUUUCAUCAGCACUUUCAAAAGAGAGAUUUUCCCCAUGCCACGUCUUUUAAGAUCAUCGAUGUGAAAAGGGGAUCAACUGUAGCGGUCUUCAACGAUUAAAUCUAAUGGUUGUAUAAUUUCGUUUCAUCUGGUUUGCAGACAUUUUUUGAAAUAAUAAAAUUCUUCAUUAUUA